UAAUACUAGCGGUCCAAGUCGCAGCCAUCUUUAUUGGGUCUAAAACAUCCGUAGCUUGUUUGAUAAGUUUCCUGUGAAAUCUGGUUUCUCAAGAAUUAGGCGUGCAGGAAAUACUAUUAAACUAGAGACUGGGAGACGUAAGAAGUAUGUUCGAAGUAGCGGUUAAAUGUUUUAAUCUCGGACAGACUCACAAUAGCGAAGGCAUCUUACGAGAACAGUUCUGACAGUCAGGGAUGAAGGCUAGGGGCGCGAAGCGGAUUAGAUACCCGUGUAGUCCUAGCAGUAAACACUGCGCACUAAACAUCGGGACCUCUUCGAGAGGUUUCGGUGCUGCAGGGAAGCCGAAGAGUGCGCUACCUGGGAAGUAUAGUCGCAAGGCCG
rnacentral:rRNA from 1 species